rnacentral:rRNA from 1 species
AACGAACGCUGGCGGCAUGCCUAACACAUGCAAGUCGAACGAGACCUUCGGGUCUAGUGGCGCACGGGUGCGUAACGCGUGGGAACCUGCCCUUAGGUUCGGAAUAACUCCCCGAAAGGGGUGCUAAUACCGGAUAAUGUCUUCGGACCAAAGAUUUAUCGCCUUUGGAUGGGCCCGCGUUGGAUUAGCUAGUUGGUAGGGUAAAAGCAUACCAAGGCGACGAUCCAUAGCUGGUCUGAGAGGAUGAUCAGCCACACUGGGACUGAGACACGGCCCAGACUCCUACGGGAGGCAGAAGUGGGGAAUAUUGGACAAUGGGCGAAAGACUGAUCCAGCAAUGCCGAGUGAGUGAUGAAGGCAUUAGGGUUGUAAAGCUCUUUUACCCGGGAUGAUAAUGACAGUACCGGGAGAAUAAGCUCCGGCUAACUCCGUG